CAUAAACAGAUACAACAUCAAAUGACGUCCUUAAUAGACCAACAGCCUGUCUGUUUUUGUAAAACAUUCCUUGUAGAUUGAAAAGUUUCACCAAACUCCCAAAGAGUCGCCACAAACUGGGAUGAUCUGUAAAAUGUUUAGGCUGAGUGUUUUCUCGUCAUUCUCUCAGCUGAUUUAUUACAGUGAUUUUCUCCACUGGUUGUCAAGGCAACAACAGUGUUCUAUGCUUUCAGCACUGUUUUGGGCCGGUGACAGUACAUAAUUAAAUAUAAGCAGUUGCUAUUAGGACUGGGGGAUACACUGUAAUUAUAAGCCUUUGCUUGUUCCCUGUGGUUUACCAGGCUGCUGGGGAGGCACUGUCACUCAGAUGGCUGCCCAGCUGCCCCCAAACACUGAUACAGAGGCCCAUCUGUUCCUGAGAGUUUGCGUAGAGAUGGGAAACAUUUUUGAAGUCAAGUCUUUUGAACACACAAGUCUGUCGUUAUUCUCCAAACAUCAUGAAAAUACAGUGAGACAGUAUCAACAGAUUCAGGCCUCCUCUGGCUUCCUUCCCACCACGUCUACAUGAGUGAGUCUAGAUGGAAGGAUGUUUAUAUAAGAACACUGAGCUGAAAGAUGCUUCCUGUUUAUCUACUGGAAAUAAAGACAUUUAACAACUGUAGAUAUUCAUAUUUCUAAAUACUGACGAACUGAUGCAGAUUUUAAUGUCUGAUGCCUAUUUGUGAGAACAGAGUCUCUGAUGACCAAUAUAUGGUAACACUUUGUUUUGAUACUUCCACUAACAUUCUACUAACUACAAGUUUGCAACUUCAUGUUGUUGACUGCACAGUGUCUGCUUAAUAUCUGCUAACAUUUUAUUUAGCUAAUCCCCAAAAGACAUUCUACAGACUAUAAGUAACUUGUCAGAAACAUGUCAACGCACUAACCCCAACCCUAACCUAACAGUCUAAUGCUUUAAUCAGAGUUAGUUGACGUGCAGUUAGUUGCAUGUAAUAGAAUGUCUAAAGUGGAUUAUCGGAAGAACAAAAGUGUAACCCAAUAGGAGCUGCUUUAUGUAAAAGGAUAUAAUUAUUACAAAUAACUUAAAAAAAAAGGAUUUUAAAUAAUUUCAUUUAGCCUUUUUUAAUAUUUACAUAAAAUUUGCUAAAACUUAAAUGCAGAUACUCUACUCAAUACUUGAAUUUCUAC
ensembl:lncRNA